rnacentral:rRNA from 1 species
GCCUACGGGACGCAGCAGUGAGGAAUAUUGGUCAAUGGGCGGGAGCCUGAACCAGCCAAGCCGCGUGAGGGAAGAAGGCACAGCGUAUCGUAAACCUCUUUUGUCCGGGAGCAAACGCAGAUACUAGUCUCCGGAUGAAAGUAUCUGACGAAAAAGCAUCGGCUAACUCCGUGCCAGCAGCCGCGGUAAUACGGAGGAUUCAAGCGUUAUCCGGAUUUAUUGGGUUUAAAGGGUGCGCAGGCGGUCUGUUAAGUUAGAGGUAAAAUCCCGAGGCUCAACUUCGGCGAUCCGUUGGA